rnacentral:lncRNA from 1 species
GGCCAUGCACAUCAGACCACUGAAAUGUCCCAAGAAAUUCUCUCUUUCUAACUGACUCAUCCAACAUGAAUGCCCUGGAUCCCUGGAUAUGGUCAAACCAGUACAGAGCCCAGGAGCUGAAGUGAGGAAGGAGCUGUGUCUGUGGUGUGGGAGUUGCAGAUCAAUAGGGCACGAUUUACAGCUCCAUUAUAACUUUCCACUAAAACCUGGGUCCCGUCGCUACUGGUGGAGUUUAAAAGCCAUCUGUGAACUUCAGCAGGGACUAACCAGGGCCCAUAACCAUACUGGGCUGCUGCAAUUCCAUCCUGGAACCCUGCCAGCAUCUGCACUUUGUCUGGGUGAACCAAACAAAAAUCACUCAAACUCGUUUCGAAGAGAAUAAUUCACUGGGCUGAUUCUCAGAACCUGCAGCUUUAAUGUUUUAAGAAAAAUAUAAUAUAAAAACAGACACAAACCUGACCUGUUGGUUCCCACCAAGAGAAGGAUCUCCUGUUUGCAUUUUCAGCUGCAAACUCGAAGAGGGAAGCCUGGAAGGUUUUCCUAAAAUGGCUGAGCACAUUCAAAUGAGGCAAGCACACCCAACAGAGUGAAGAGGUGCUCGUAAAGAACUUUCCUGAACAUUACAUAAAGUAUGAGCCUCUUUAAGUAUUUUCUUUUCAUCCACAGUUCUUGGAUAAAUUAAUAAGGCAUUUAACAAGCCAUUAAUGAAGCAGGAGAUCUUUUAAGCAAUGAAAGUAUGAACUUCAAGUGGACAAAACUGUGAAAGCAAUUGGUGAAAGUGAAGUCGCUGGAGCGAGCAGACCAGAGAUUCAGCUGGAUGAUCACAUAUCUUGCUACAGGUAUCACCAACCUAUCUUUAGGCACCUUCUGGAAAAACAGUUCACUGAUACCAGCUCGAUCAGCCCAGGAAUUUGUUUGAUGUGCUUAAGAGAUUGGUAACAAUAGCUCCUAACGUGACUGCGUUGCGAGGUGACAGUGUUUCCUUGGAGACAGUGAAUCCAUCCAGCCCCGCCAGGAUCCCGGCAGGUUCCCCCCUCUCCAGAGGCCGGAGAACUCCCUCCCUGUGCCCGGGCAGAGAUGGGAAGAUAAGCUCUGCCUGUAGACAAAUAGCCUU